rnacentral:misc_RNA from 1 species
UGUGGGAGCGAGCCUGCUCGCGAUGACGUGAUGUCAGUCAGUAUGGAGUCGACUGAUUCACCGCCAUCGCGAGCAGGCUCGCUCCCACA